rnacentral:rRNA from 1 species
GAUCCUGCCUCAGGAUGAACGCUAGCUACAGGCUUAACACAUGCAAGUCGAGGGGCAGCAUGGUCUUAGCUUGCUAAGGCCGAUGGCGACCGGCGCACGGGUGAGUAACACGUGUCCAACCUGCCGUCUACUCUUGGACAGCCUUCUGAAAGGAAGAUUAAUACAAGAUGGCAUCAUGAGUUCACAUGUUCACAUGAUUAAAGGUAUUCCGGUAGACGAUGGGG